UCUAUCCCUGGGGAGCAGAAAUUCAGCUGGUUGUCAGUGAAAUGAAACUAACAUUGAGUAUGGACCGUGUAUCAAGCCCUUUCUAAGCGCUUUACCUUCAUCAUCUCGUUUAAACCUCCCAACAACUUUUCAAGCUGCGGUGUUCUGAACAGCAGUCCAGCUGUGAGGGGAGGUGCCCAUGGCAGGCCUCAGCUGACCCUGGAGAGGCUGUUAAGACCUGGCUGUCGCCUCCAUAGCUGCUCAGAGGCAGAGAAGGGUGGCUUUAUAAGAUGAAGAAAAGAGAUCACUCUCUUUCCACCAUUGAGGACCCAGCAAGAAGGUGGCUGUCUGCAAGCCGGGAAGAGAGCCCUCACCAGGAAUCUGCUGGGAUCUUAAUCUUGGACUUUCCAGCCUCCACAACUGUGAGAAAUAAAGGUAUGUUGCUUAAGCCACCCAGUUUGUGGUAUUUUGUUAUGGCAGUCCUAGCUGACUAAAAAAUACUGCC